rnacentral:rRNA from 1 species
AAUCAACGCUGGCGGCGUGCCUAACACAUGCAAGUCGAACGAGAAAGUGGAGCAAUCCAUGAGUACAGUGGCGACCGGGUGAGUAACACGUGACUAACCUACCCUAGAGUGGGGGAUAACCCCGGGAAACCGGGGCUAAUACCGCAUGACAUCGCGAGGGGAAGAUCCUUGCGAUCAAAGGAGUAAUCCGCUCAAGGAGGGGGUCGCGGCUGAUUAGUUAGUUGGUAGGGUAACGGCCUACCAAGACGAAGAUCAGUAGCCGGCCUGAGAGGGCGCACGGCCACACUGGAACUGAAACACGGUCCAGACGCCUACGGGAGGCAGCAGUGGGGAAUUUUGCGCAAUGGGGGAAACUCUGACGCAGCAACGCCGCGUGGAGGAUGAAGUCCCUUGGGAUGUAAACUCCUUUCGAUCGGGACGAUUAUGACGGUACCGGAAGAAGAAGCACCGGCUAACUCUGUGCCAGCAGCCGCCGUAA